rnacentral:rRNA from 1 species
GCGUGAGUGAAGAAGGCCCUAGGGUUGUAAAACUCUUUCAGUCGUGACGAUGAUGACGGUAGCGACAGAAGAAGCCCCGGCUAACUCCGUGCCAGCAGCCGCGGUAAUACGGAGGGGGCUAGCGUUGUUCGGAAUUACUGGGCGUAAAGCGCACGUAGGCGGCGUGUAUAGUUAGGGGUGAAAGGCCUGGGCUCAACCUGGGAACUGCCUCUAAUACUGACAUGCUAGAAUUCGGGAGAGGGUAGCGGAAUUCCAAGUGUAGAGGUGAAAUUCGU